rfam:Moniliophthora roreri MCA 2997 sctg_0032_0003, whole genome shotgun sequence.
GCGUCAAUGGUCUAAUGGUUAUGAUGCGACCUUCCCAUGAAUUAGUAAGAAGAUCGCGACCAGGGUUCGAUUCCCUGUUGACGCA